GGAGAUUUUCCGGAAGAAGGUGCCAGUUACCGGAUUUGGUGAUGGCCAUGGUUCUCUGUAACUAUCGAAGACUUGUUUGGUUUGAGAACAUAAUGCGGGCAGAUUAAAGAAGGGGCGUGCUUAUAUUAGGAAACAUCUUCUUCCUAAUAUGUUGUAUGUGCCAGUUAGCGGAUUUGGUGCUGGCCAUGGUUCUCUGUAACUAACGAAGACGUGUUUGGUUUGAGAACAUAAUGCGGGCAAAUUAAAGAAGGGGCGUGCUUAUAUUAGGAAAGAUCUUCUUCCUAAUAUAUUAUAUGUGUUCGUUAUUCCUAUUUUUCAGAGAAAAAAAAUUCAGGUUACGAAGUAGUUUAUCCAUUGCAUGUAACCCUAACUAAUCAGUUGUCCAGUAUGGAUCAACAGCGAGAACGCCACAGAAAAAUGGCUAUGGUUGUAGCGAUUAUUAUAUUACUGUUAGAAUACUACCGUUUUGUCCCUAUUAGAACACUUCGCAUGACGUCAUUCUUUAUUGGGGAUAAAUGGGUGGGCGAGAUGCUCGUUGCACACCCAAAAACGUUCAACAACAUAUUUCGCAUGACUAUGCCCACUUUUUUGGAUCUCCUUCACUAGCUACAUAUCAAUCACAACCUCUGAUAUUCUUUUCGAACUACUAUAAAGGAGGUGUUGGCAAUUACGUUGUACAUUCUAUCUCAGAACGAAUCAAUCAUGGGAGCGAUGGGGCAAUUACAACAUUCCUAAGAGAUAAUAAGCAGUUACUUCUCUGAAGGUCUAAGAGCACUAGUUAGCUUAGCAUCAAACAUAAUUAAGCAAGAAGAUCAACAUUCGACACAACUUCUGAAAAAAUUGCCAACGGCCCGCAUUACAUGUCAUUUUUCUUGAACUGUAUUGAGGCAAUUGACGGUACACACGUUGAUGUCUGACUCCCCAGCCAUGAGAAAGUGGCUUACAUUGGCUGUUGUGGGUCACCAACUCAGAAUGUGAUGGCUGUAUGGAGUCCCAUGAAUUUGACGCCCAGGAUGGCGAAGGUGCAGUGGAGAUGGCUUCUUUGAGUGAGCGUAUCACAGAUGCUAUAUGUGAACGCUGAUUGACCCCGUCUAAUUUAUUUUGCAUACUUUAUGUACCAUUCUUCUAACAAGCAUGAGGUGUGCACCUCAUUGAUGUAAUUUUUUUUUUUCUGUAAACAGUGAGAAGGCUUUCUUUUAAAAAGA